rnacentral:tRNA from 1 species
UCUCUAGUAGCUCAGUGGUAGAGCGGUCGGCUGUUAACCGAUAGGUCGUUGGUUCAAUCCCAACCUGGAGAG